rnacentral:sRNA from 1 species
UGGGAUGCCGAAGUCGGGUCCCGCAUUUCCUUGCUGAUUACUCAGGAGAAUUUUCAUGAG